CAACUCCAGAGAGCAGCCAGCGGGUCACAGUGGUCCCGCCCAUGGACCUGGAGCCUAGGGAAAAAUGAGCUCGGAAAUCCGGAGCAAAUGAGGAGUGGUCCCUGAGAAGUCAGUGGCCCUGGAUGUUGUGGCUGCUGAAGAAAAAAAGAAGAGGAGGCUGUUCGAGUAGCCGGCCAAGAGCGCCGCAGGUUCCCAGGCAGCUUCUCAUUCCCCUGUCCCUCCCAUCCCGUCUCUUGUUAACAGAAAAACUGCUUUCACUUUAAGAUAAGUGCCGGUUGCAGCCAGCUGUGAGAGCUGCACUCCCGUCUCUGCUCUAAAGUUCCCUCUUCUCAGAAGGUGGCACCACCCUGAGUUGCUGGCAGUGAGUCUGUUCCAAGUUCCAGUGAGGGAGGCAUCCACCCACUUGGGGCUUCUGUCCAAGGUAAGGAGCACCUGUGAGUCUAACUGCCAGGCUCUGAUGGGGGUCUCGUCUCUGUGGGACUAGAAAGUCCCAACAAUCUGACCAAGGUAAUAAGAGUCAGACAAGAAAAAGAGUUAAAGAAACAUGAGGCUGACAAAGACAGAGACCAGAGUCAGAAUCAGAGCUGUGCUGUGAGACAAAAAAAUAAGAAAAAUGAAAUGUUGGCCACAAAAGUCAGGAAAACUAGAAAACUUAGAUAGUACCUGGCAACAAAAAAAAGCUUUUGGCUAAAGAUCAACGUGUAUACUGUAAAGAAAAUGAGCACUGGGUGAGAGACUGCCCCAACAAAAAGAAGAGGAGCCCCCCUCAUGACCAAACCCUUCACCUGUUUGUGGCUAAAAGUAAAGAGAUAACAAAAGGGGUGCUAACACAGAAGCUGAGUCCUUAAAAGAGUCCGGUGGCCUACCUGUUAAAGCAGCUAAAAAAGAGACUGUGUUUCAUACUCCUCCACCGACCAGUGCAAAACAAGCUAAAAAGUUCCUGGGCACUGCGGGCUUUUGCAGAUUGUGGAUUCCAGUUUUGCUGAGUUAAAGAGAUAAACAGCCCUUCGUAUAAAUAGUAA
rnacentral:lncRNA from 1 species